rnacentral:rRNA from 1 species
AACGAACGCUGGCGGCAGGCCUAACACAUGCAAGUCGAGCGAUCCCUUCGGGGAUAGCGGCGGACGGGUUAGUAACGCGUGGGAACGUGCCCUUCACUACGGAAUAGCCUCUGGAAACGGAGAUUAAUACCGUAUACGCCCUUCGGGGGAAAGAUUUAUCGGUGAAGGAUCGGCCCGCGUCUGAUUAGAUAGUUGGUGGGGUAAUGGCCUACCAAGUCUACGAUCAGUAGCUGGUUUGAGAGGAUGAUCAGCAACACUGGGACUGAGACACGGCCCAGACUCCUACGGGAGGCAGCAGUGGGGAAUCUUAGACAAUGGGCGCAAGCCUGAUCUAGCCAUGCCGCGUGAGUGAUGAAGGUCUUAGGAUCGUAAAGCUCUUUCGCCAGGGAUGAUAAUGACAGUACCUGGUAAAGAAACCCCGGCUAACUCCGUGCCAGCAGCCGCGGUAAUACGGAGGGGGUUAGCGUUGUUCGGAAUUACUGGGCGUAAAGCGCGCGUAGGCGGAUUGGAAAGUUGGGGGUGAAAUCCCGGGGCUCAACCCCGGAACUGCCUCCAAAACUAUCAAUCUAGAGUUCGAGAGAGGUGAGUGGAACUCCGAGUGUAGAG